rnacentral:rRNA from 1 species
GUGUAAGUUAUUAAGAGCACACGGUGGAUGCCUUGGCAUUAAGAGCCGAUGAAGGACGUGUGAAUCUGCGAUAAGCCUCGGGGAGCCGAUAACUGGGCGUUGAUCCGAGGAUUUCCGAAUGGGGAAACCUGGCUCAUCUUCAUGGUGAGUUACCGCCAGCUGAAUGUAUAGGCUGGUUGGGGGGAACGCGGGGAAGUGAAACAUCUCAGUACCCGCAGGAAGAGAAAAUAAAGUAAUGAUUCUGUGAGUAGUGGCGAGCGAAAGCGGAAGAGACUAAACCUGUGGUGUGUGAUAGCGGUUAGGCGUUGCAUCAUGGGGGUUGUGGGAGUCACAGUGGUAGUUCUAACUGGCUGCCGGCAUGAUGUUCAGGAUGGUAGGUGAACGACUUGGAAUGGUCGGCCGUAGAGGGUGAGAGUCCCGUAAUCGAAAUUGUUCUGUCCGUGGUGUGGCCACCCGAGUAGCACGGGGCUCGUGGAAUCUCGUGUGAAUCUGCCAGGACCACCUGGUAAGUCUAAAUACUUCUUAGUGACCGAUAGUGAAUCAGUACCGUGAGGGAAUGGUGAAAAGUACCCCGGGAGGGGAGUGAAAUAGUACCUGAAACCGUGUGCUUACAAGCCGUUGGAGCCUUUUGGGGUGACAGCGUGCCUUUUGAAGAAUGAGCCUGCGAGUUAGUGUUAUGUCGCGAGGUUAACCCGUGUGGGGUAUCCGUAGCGAAAGCGAGUCUGAAUAGGGCGUUUGAGUGGCAUGACCUAGACCCGAAGCGGAGUGAUCUAUCCAUGGCCAGGUUGAAGCGACGGUAAGACGUCGUGGAGGACCGAACCCACUUCAGUUGAAAAUGGAGGGGAUGAGCUGUGGAUAGGGGUGAAAGGCCAAUCAAACUCUGUGAUAGCUGGUUCUCCCCGAAAUGCAUUUAGGUGCAGCGUUACGUGUUUCUUGCCGGAGGUAGAGCUACUGGAUGGCCGAUGGGCCUUCACGGGUUACUGACGUCAGCUAAACUCCGAAUGCCGGUAAGUGAGAGCGUAGCAGUGAGACAGUGGGGGAUAAGCUUCAUUGUCGAGAGGGAAACAGCCCAGACCACCAACUAAGGCCCCUAAGCGUGUGCUAAGUGGGAAAGGAUGUGGAGUUGCUUAGACAACCAGGAGGUUGGCUUAGAAGCAGCCACCCUUGAAAGAGUGCGUAACAGCUCACUGGUCAAGUGAUUCUGCGCCGAUAAUGUAGCGGGGCUCAAGUACACCGCCGAAGUUGUGGCAAUGAUCUUUUUGGAUUGUUGGGUAGGGGAGCGUCGUGUGGCCGUUGAAGCUGCGGUGUAAACCAGUGGUGGAGGCUAUGCGAGUGAGAAUGCAGGCA